rnacentral:rRNA from 1 species
CAGUAGCCGCGGUAAUACGAAGGGUGCAAGCGUUAAUCGGAAUUACUGGGCGUAAAGCGUGCGUAGGCGGUGAGUUAAGUCUGUUGUGAAAUCCCCGGGCUCAACCUGGGAAUGGCAAUGGAUACUGGCAAGCUAGAGUGUGUCAGAGGAUGGUGGAAUUCCCGGUGUAGCGGUGAAAUGCGUAGAGAUCGGGAGGAACAUCAGUGGCGAAGGCGGCCAUCUGGGACAACACUGACGCUGAGGCACGAAAGCGUGGGGAGCAAACAGGAUUAGAUACCCGCGUAGUCCCUGUCUCUUAUAC